UACGGAGGGUGCAAGCGUUAUCCGGAUUUACUGGGUUUAAAGGGUGUGUAGGCGGUUUGGUAGGUCCGCUGUGAAAACUCGAGGCUCAACCUCGAGACGCCGGUGGAAACCAUCAGGCUAGAGUCCGGAAGAGGAGAGUGGAAUUCCUGGUGUAGCGGUGAAAUGCGCAGAUAUCAGGAAGAACACCCGUGGCUAAGGCGGCUCUCUAGUACGGUACUGACGCUGAGACGCGAAAGCGUGGGGAGCGAACAGG
rnacentral:rRNA from 1 species